UGUACAAAUGAGUAUGCUAAUAUGAGCGUGGUUUCGAUGAAAUGAAAGUAUAGGAAUCACGUCGUGACGGACUCAAGCAUGAAAGGAUAACGGGUCAAGAAAAGGCGAGGAAUCGGAUACGAGCACGGACGUAUAAGGUAGUACCAGUCAUGAGGAUAUCCAAGGAUUGGAGAUCGAAGAUCGAGUCACUAGAGAGAUUGUACGGAAACGUUGAUGUACAUAAUGUAGUAAACAUAAGCUAUGUUUUUAACUAGUAAAUAAGAGGAUGACGGAUUUAUGAGAAAGAACUGUGUUAAAGUUAAAUCUUAAAUAAGUUGAGGUAUUUAUAGUGAAAGAAAUUUUAUGGUA